GAUGAACGCUAGCGGCAGGCCUAACACAUGCAAGUCGAGGGGUAGGGUUAGCUUGCUAAUUUGAGACCGGCGCACGGGUGCGUAACGCGUGUGCAAUCUACCUUGUACAGAGGGAUAGCCCAGAGAAAUUUGGAUUAAUACCUCAUAGUAUCUUUACCUGGCAUCGGGUAAUUAUUAAAGUUCCAACGGUACAAGAUGAGCAUGCGUCCCAUUAGUUAGUUGGUAAGGUAACGGCUUACCAAGACAAUGAUGGGUAGGGGUCCUGAGAGGGAGAUCCCCCCACACUGGUACUGAGACACGGACCAGACUCCUACGGGAGGCAGCAGUGAGGAAUAUUGGUCAAUGGACGCAAGUCUGAACCAGCCAUGCCGCGUGCAGGAUGAAUGCCCUAUGGGUUGUAAACUGCUUUUAUAUAGGAAUAAACCCCCUCUCGUGAGAGGGGCUGAAGGUACUAUAAGAAUAAGGACCGGCUAACUCCGUGCCAGCAGCCGCGGUAAUGUAGACGU
rnacentral:rRNA from 1 species